GACAUUUAAGAGAGACUUGGAGGUUCUGCAUCAGACACCCAUUUGUCUGAGGAACCUGAGCUGGUCUGGACUCCCAUCAUGGCCUGGGCCCCACUACUCCUUGCACUGCUCACAUACUACUCAGGGGUCAGGUCUCAGUCUGUGGUGACUCAGGAGCCAUCCCUGUCAGUGUCCCCAGGAGGGACUGUCACUCUGUCCUGCAGCCUGAGCACCGGAGCCAUCACCACCAGCAACUAUCCUGGCUGGUACCAGCAGAAACCUGGCUCUCCCCCUCGGCAGCUUAUAUACAGCACCAACAGCAGGCCCUCCGGGAUCCCCACCCGGUUCUCGGGGUCCAUAUCUGGUCAGAAGGCCGUAUUAACCAUCACGGGGGUCCAAGCAGAGGAUGAGUCCGACUACUACUGUCUUGUGUAUAUUGGCAGUGGUAUACUGGGCACAGUGAUAAACCCUGAUGAGGAACUGAGACAUAAACCUCCCUCCUGUUCUUUCUGCACCUCUGCCCUGCUGGCAACUCUCUGCUCAGGCUACAGCGGAUAA